GCACUGCUGAGGAGUCCCACAUUAGGACGAAAUAGCUGUCCAGUGU
rfam:Schistosoma rodhaini strain Burundi genome assembly, scaffold: SROB_scaffold0000059